UAUGCCAUCUGCUGGCUUCCCAGCUGGCUUCUUUUUAAAGAACAAGUGUGAAAACCUUUCAUUGGCUCCCCACUGCCUCCAGACUGCGGUUCAAACAGGAAGCUGAGAUGAAGCCCAAUAUGCCUUUCCUGGCUCCUUCUCUGCCACUCCCAGGCUAUAUUCUAUACUUGCAGCUUUUACCUGGCUGCUAUUGUUGCUGCUCUCCUACCUCAGCCUGGAAUUGUCGAUCUAUCUCUCAUGACCAAACCUGUGUCCAAAACAAGUUUUGACUUCUUUCUAUUCAAGCAGUUUUUCAAACUGUAUAACAAUUACAGCCCCUCCUCACUUAAUAAACUACCUGUUUAAUGACCACUUAGACUUCCGACCCUUGGUCCUUGUCUUGUUCCCAGUCAGUACUCGCUACUGAAGUGCUUGCAAUCAUGCAAAACGAUGUAUUUCAUUUAUAAAUUUGUACUUUAUUGUGCACUCAUAACAGUUUUCAAAAUAAAAAUGAUUGUAUCAGAUAUAUAUUACCAUGUUGUGGUGUGUUUUUGCUUUCUGGAGCUUAACUAAUCUAUGCUUUUUUGGGUGGGCAGAUUUUAUUAUUCUUGCUUACUGACCAAAUUGCUUAACAACCUAAGCAUAGGAAUGGAACUUGGUUGUUAAAUGAGGCGUGCCUGUACUCGUGUUCACUUAUUUGACAAAUAUGCCAGUACCUAUAGCAGGCCACACGGUCUGCUCACUGAAAAUCACAUACCCUGAAGACGGAAGCUAUGCCCUUUGCAUUUGCCUUGGCUUCCUCAAUGGAAAGCAGCAGCAAAGGUCUUAACUCAGAGUUGGGUUCAUAGUUUAUCUUUGGCACCUUCUAGCUCCUAGAUCUUAAGGAACUGAUUUAACCUCUUUGAGUCUUAAAUUUCCUCAUUUGGAAAAUGGGGGUGCUACUAUCAACCUCACGAAUUGGUUUAAACAUCAGUUCCCAAAUUCAGCAGAAUAUCAAGAAUCACUAGCAUUUUUUAAAUAUGUAGAAUGGAUGGGCCAACUGCCAGGAGUGCUGUAGACACUGCUGUUCUGCAGGCUGAGGCACAUGGGAGACCCAAGUUCAAUUCCUGGCUCAGCCUAAAAAGCCAAAGGCUAUGGUGAACAUCUGUGGUCCCAGCUACUUGGGAGGCUGAGGCAAGAGACUCUUUAAAAAGAAGCCAACUGGGAAGCCAGCAGAUGGAUAUGGCGAAACCCUUUCUAAAAAACACCACACAUGUGUACACACAGACACACACACUGAAUAGGGAUGAUGCAAGACGGUUGCAUUUUUUUAAAGUCCCAAGAAAUUCUCACAUAUAGCCAGACUGGAAAACACAGAUCAGAGUCUUAAAUUAUUUGUCAAGUAUCUGUCAUGCUAAUGCUCAAUACCCAGGGGUGUCCCUGAAGAUGAGAUUCCUACCCUUACAGAAGUGCCGUGAGAUAAGGGGAGCUUGUGAAAAGACAUCCUGCACUUAAACCACACACAUAAGGGGCCAACCCAUGGUGUGGUGGCUAAGGCAGCUGAAUCCCAUAUGGCUAACUGCACAGUUCAAGUCCCAGACCUAGAGGUGUGAAAAACAACCAGAUGCACGUGCUUACAUGUGCAAAAUCCUGAAAAGGAGGGAAAAAAGGAGAAGGGACUACAGCAUGGCUGUCUCCCACAGAGGGUGCUUUCUCACUUUUCCUCUCUCCAUAUCUCUGGCAAACACAUGUGUCCUCUGGCAAAAUUGAAGGAGAAAAAAACCCAGAAACAUAAGAAACUACAGGACAUGCUACCUCCACCCCCAUCCACAAUUCCAAUUCUAAUGACCAGAGCCACUCUGGAAAGCAACAAGUAAACUACCAGUAAACAAAUGUUUGUUCAACUCGGCCUUGUUCAGAUACUAACAGUUACAAAUCCAGGAAAAGAGGAGUAACAUUUCCCAAAGGUUAAACCUUGUUAUUCAGAAUAUCAACCUACUGCUCAAGAUUUAAAAAGGGGAGAAACCAAGUUGGCAAUGAAUGAAGGCGCUGGCAACUGCAACAUUGCCUAUUAUUAGAUCAGUGCUACUCCAAAGGUAGCUUAGAACACAAUGAUAUUGGCAAUGUCCUAGCCUUCCAAAAGAAGUAGGCUUUGGUCUUUCUAUUGUUUUGAUAUUUCCCCAGUAACAGAAGAGGGAUGCAAAGCCCUCUCAUCACCUUACUUGGAAUAACUUUCACAUGGCCUGGGUACAGACUUGGGCAUCUCACCCUCAAAGAAACAGGCUCAGGGAUGUCAUGGCAUCUGUUACCACUCUCUGUAGGUUUUACAUCGAAAAGGGAUUAAACUAAUUCCUUUAGUGUUUGAGGACUCAGACAAAUGGGUAGACAAGACACCACAGGAAUACUUGAAAGUAUACUACCAUCAGAUAGGACUCCUAACCCACAGUGUGGGAGCAUCCUGCUUCAUUAAAAUGAAAACCCAGGAAUAAAAUUUGCAGGUAUUAAUCCAGGUAUUUUCCAACAUGUAAACAAAGCCAAGUACAGAAAAGUUUGCUGUGUCACUCUAGUGGCAAAAAAUACUGGACACUUCUGAAAUGCUCAUCAAGAGAUGACUGGUUACGUAAAACACACAAUAUCUAAGAAAGCAGGGCAGGUAAAUGGAAACUUAACACAGACAACCUUCAAGUGGUACAUUUUAAUUUACAGUUUUUACCAAUAAAAAUGAUUAGUUACAAAAAGGGAAGUCCUCUAUACAAAAUAAGGAUUUUUUUUUUCCAUUCAUAAAAAGAAUCCACUGUCAGGUCUUCUCUUGCCUAGUCAAAAGUCAAUAGUUUGUUUUAGUAAAAAUUAUCCCAGAAAGAGGUGAUCCAGACAAGAUCAAUAAAAUAAUCAGCUUGCUAACUAUGUUGAAAAAUAAUUUAAGGAACAUGUUAUCUAGAACUGAAGAGUUCUAAAUACCUGUAAACCUUUAGGAAAACCACUGCUUUCAGGCAUCUGAGUGGGUAAGAGGACGUGCAUGACCUAGCUCACCACUAGAAUCUUCUCACACAGACUAAGUCUCCACCCCUGUAUAUGCGACCGAACAGAAAUGGCUUCUAAAAUUUUACAAGUAGAUUUUAUUGCGGCCACAUGUCAAUAGCAGAACAUGUGACUGUUGAGGUUCUGACUCUCCUCACCGACUAUUUUCAAUCAUAUAAAUUAACUAUGGGGGGAACACAAAUGAACUUCAUUAAAAAUGAGGAGCUGCUUUCAAACUCCUACUUCCUACCAUAACACACAUCACUAUUUAAGAGUGGGAGGGGAAGAAUAGCAUGCUGUUAGAGCAUGGCGCUUCCUGAAAAGAAAUGAUCAAAAUGUUUGAAGACUUUUUGGUUGACUCAGCAUGGCAGCCACGCAACACUGUCCCUAAUAAGAACUGUCUCCUUCCAGAAUAAACACAGAAAAUAAAAGAAUUGUGUGAAACAACAAAGCCUUCAAGAAACUUUUAUUUGGUGAUGAGCUGAGCUCUGAUGGAAAAAGUCCACCUGUGAAAAACGGAAUUGUGGGUAUUUAGGCUGGUCUGAUUCACAGAGCUUGUACAUUCAUGACUCUAUAAAGAUCCUCAAACACAAAUGGUUCUAAAGCCAUUACAACCCAAAAUUAUAUGAUUCACUUAGAUGUGUUUCUAUUAGCUUUUAAAAAAAAAAAAAAGCUCUACGUACAGAGAAAUGCACCUUCCUCACAAUGAACGGGAAUCCUUGACCAAAAGGUGGGGGUGGGGACAAUUUAAGAGUAGGAGGUUCUCCCUUCCAACUUUCUCAAUGAACAUAUACGCAGAAUGAGAAUGAAAUGGAAUCAAUGCCCAGGAACCUCUCGAGAGAGCAUCCCUGUAGCCAAUGUGAUUUGGAAACGACUAACACAACACACAACCCAACACACUAGGUACACAAGUCAGACACCCUACUUACAAAACACAAAGGGAUUAAGUUCACCACAGUCUAAACC